UUGCAGAAGAAAACUAGAAGAAAUUUUCAACAUGUUAAUUCAAAGGUCAUCUGGCAGCAGUUCUCCAGGGUCUUUCAGUCCUUUAGAGGGAUGAGUCUAAAGAAAUUUUCAGGAUGUGUUUUGAUGUAAUUGUAGAGUCGGACUUCAGUGCAGAAGAUGUUGG